ACUAGAAUCAAGUCCAUGGGUUGCAAAUGCUGAGUUCUUGCUACCUGUGCAUGAGGGAGGGCUGGAGGAUAGCAACAUCAAUCACAUCCCUGCCUUGCAUAUCCUGAACCAAUUGAGAAAUAUGCCAACAGGUCAGAUGUCCAUCCAGUCCAAGUAGACUAGCAAUCUGACCUCAGGCCUCUCAUUAACCAGUGGGCUGUUCCCGGAGUAAUGAAGGCAGAUAAUGCAUCCUGAGAUACCAGUCCAGUGGAGCACACAAACUCAUGCUUUGCCAUUGAUCCCUGGGACGAUUGGGAACACUGGCCCUUCACAACUUUGCUCUGCAGCCUCACGCCCCAGUGACCUACAUGAAGAGAUCCUCUGAAGCAUGUGCUGAGCUAAACAGAGAGCCCACCAUUCUGAAUAAGCUGGAAAAAUCCACCACCUCCAGCUGUAAAGCUUAUAGAACAAGACUGAUAAUUUUAAAAUGUAGUUUCUUGAUAAAAGACAUCUUCAGGAUUCUCAAAAUGCUGCAUCCAUCUCACUGUGUUCCUAGAUCGUGAAAGGGUGGCUUUCUACCACUUAAUGAUGCAGAGAUCCAGGUUCCUUCUGUCCUCUGAUUCCACUACCUUUGGGCCUCCAAGUCUUCAGCCUCCAGCCUGCAAAGGAGGGAGUAAUGGGGGGCAGGGGUUUGUGGAUCAGCUUUAGAAGUAGCACAUAUGACUUAUGCUUACGUUCUAUUUUGCUGGAACUCAGCAAAUGGUUGGACUGAAGUGUGAUGAGACUGAAAAUGUGGUUUCUGUCUGGGAAGCCACGUCCUGGUGAAAAUAGCACAAUUGGAAAGGUCAAAUCACAAACUUUUGUUAGCAGAAGCUGCUUCUGCCAUAUAUGGAGAAAGGUUUUAGAAGAAAUUAAGUUCUCUAGAGGGAAAAUAAAUAUUCAUCACAC
rnacentral:lncRNA from 1 species